rnacentral:rRNA from 1 species
AUUGAACGCUGGCGGCAUGCCUUACACAUGCAAGUCGAACGGUAACAGGUCUUCGGAUGCUGACGAGUGGCGAACGGGUGAGUAAUACAUCGGAACGUGCCCGAUCGUGGGGGAUAACGAAGCGAAAGCUUUGCUAAUACCGCAUAAGAUCUAUGGAUGAAAGCAGGGGACCGCAAGGCCUUGCGCGAACGGAGCGGCCGAUGGCAGAGUAGGUAGUUGGUGGGAUAAAAGCUUACCAAGCCGACGAUCUGUAGCUGGUCUGAGAGGACGACCAGCCACACUGGGACUGAGACACGGCCCAGACUCCUACGGGAGGCAGCAGUGGGGAAUUUUGGACAAUGGGCGAAAGCCUGAUCCAGCCAUGCCGCGUGCAGGAUGAAGGCCUUCGGGUUGUAAACUGCUUUUGAACGGAACGAAAAGACUCUUUCUAAUAAAGAGGGUCCAUGACGGUACCGUAAGAAUAAGCACCGGCUAACUACGUGCCAGCCGCCGCGGUAA